AGUGGAGUUUGCUCUUCUGGUGAAGGACUA
rnacentral:piRNA from 1 species